GAUGAACGCUGGCGGCGUGCCUAAUACAUGCAAGUCGAACGCGCAGCGAAAGGUGCUUGCACCCUUCAAGCGAGUGGCGAACGGGUGAGUAACACGUGGAUAACCUGCCUCAAGGCUGGGGAUAACAUUUGGAAACAGAUGCUAAUACCGAAUAAAACUUAGUAUCGCAUGAUACAAAGUUGAAAGGCGCUACGGCGUCACCUAGAGAUGGGUCCGCGGUGCAUUAGUUAGUUGGUGGGUAAAGGCCUACCAAGACAAUGAUGCAUAGCCGAGUUGAGAGACUGAUCGGCCACAUUGGGACUGAGACACGGCCCAAACUCCUACGGGAGGCUGCAGUAGGGAAUCUUCCACAAUGGGCGAAAGCCUGAUGGAGCAACGCCGCGUGUGUGAUGAAGGCUUUAGGGUCGU
rnacentral:rRNA from 1 species